UUAAAUGAUGAUUAUUUAACCAGUUCUGCUACUGAAUUAAAUUGACGACAACCAAAUACCAAACCACUGA
rnacentral:snoRNA from 12 species